GGUUGACCUCGGAUCAGGUAGGGAUACCCGCUGAACUUAAGCAUAUCAAUAAGCGGAGGAAAAGAAACCAACCGGGAUUGCCUCAGUAACGGCGAGUGAAGCGGCAAGAGCUCAAAUUUGAAAUCUGGCCCCUCCGGGGUCCGAGUUGUAAUUUGCAGAGGAUGCUUCGGGUGCGGCCCCCGUCUAAGUGCCCUGGAACGGGCCGUCAGAGAGGGUGAGAAUCCCGUCUUGGGCGGGGUGUCCGUGCCCGUGUGAAGCUCCUUCGACGAGUCGAGUUGUUUGGGAAUGCAGCUCUAAAUGGGUGGUAAAUUUCAUCUAAAGCUAAAUACUGGCCGGAGACCGAUAGCGCACAAGUAGAGUGAUCGAAAGAUGAAAAGCACUUUGAAAAGAGAGUUAAACAGCACGUGAAAUUGUUGAAAGGGAAGCGCUUGCGACCAGACUCGCCCGCGGGGUUCAGCCGGCAUUCGUGCCGGUGUACUUCCCCGUGGGCGGGCCAGCGUCGGUUUGGGCGGCCGGUCAAAGGCCUCCGGAAUGUAUCGCCCCCCGGGGCGUCUUAUAGCCGGAGGUGCAAUGCGGCCAGCCUAGACCGAGGAACGCGCUUCGGCACGGACGCUGGCAUAAUGGUCGCAAACGACC
rnacentral:rRNA from 1 species